GGUUGUGGAGGAAACUGGUCGGGGCAGUUUUGCUAGUCUGAGCUGCAGCUGGCUUUUGCCUCCAGGCUGCGCCACUUUCUGACACCGCACAGGAGUUAGAGAGCUUUCUUCCCCACCCAGAUGGGGCACUGCGACCGAAAUCUCUUCCACUGAAGGACCAGAGAGGAGCUGAGUUGAGUGCACACACCAAGUGAUUCUCGGGUAGCUCUGAGCCAUGCUGGGUCUGGCUGCAGGCUCCCCGGAAUAGCCGAGGCGCUCCUUUUAAUCGCUGCCAGUAAGGCAAGACAGAAGCACCAGCUGCACAGAGCCAAGGGGAUCCCCGAGUAGGAGCCCACAGCCGAGCAGCAGGCAUCCCGAAGACAUUCCGUCCUGUUCAGACAAGAGCAGAGGGCUUGGAAGAUGCCGUUGUACUGGGUGGAAGCACUGGGACGUCUGGGUGGGAGACAAGCUGAGCAGCAAUGCUGACCGUCCAGCUGAAGGUGGGAGCAGCACCGGCAGGGCAGGAUGUUCUUUGGAGCAAUGGAGGCCGCGGCCUUUGAUGGAGAAUGUGACAGGAGAAGGAAAGAAAGCAGGACGGAGGAGGGAGCAACUGACACAGCGGUUUGCUUCCUGCUCUCAGCUGCAGCCGGCUGUUACCCCCCGGCUGAGGAAAAGCUGCAAAUCCCCCAUUGCCGUUGCUCUUGUUCCAUCGGGCUACGGUUCAACUUCUGCCUUUCGCUUGUGGUCAUCGCAGCCUGCAGGAGAGCAGCAGCGUGUUCAUCUCAGGCAGGGGCUGGGGGAAGCAGGCAGGAUGUGAAGAGGCAAAGGAUGUGAAGGCAGAGACAUGAAAUGCCUGCAGACAGCGUUUGUGUGCUGGGGACGGAGAAGCGGCUGGGGCUGGAGUUUCUCUCUUUGUGAGCUGCUUCCCUGGCCCUUGGCUGCUCCAGCAAGGAGCCUCUUUGCUUGCAGGAGCUUUGUGGAGGUGGCCGUGUUCCUUUCUUCUAUUUCCACUAUUUGUUCUUUGCACAGCAAAACAGAGGCUGCCUUUUGGGGUUUUUUUUGGAUGCUGAAAAGCGGAGGCUGCUGCUUUGGCCGUGGCCAAUAAACAGAGCAUUUCUUCUUUUGGA